rnacentral:rRNA from 1 species
GGAGUCGUUGGUGAAAUACCACUCUGAUUGUUCUGGUUAUCUCACUGUGGACCGUGAUCCGGUUCAAGGACAGUGCCUGAUGGGUAGUUUGACUGGGGCGGUCGCCUCCUAAAGGGUAACGGAGGCGCCCAAAGGUUCCCUCAUCCUGGUUGGUAAUCAGGUGGUGAGUGUAAGUGCACAAGGGGGCUUGACUGUGAGACUGACAGGUCGAGCAGGGACGAAAGUCGGGACUAGUGAUCUGACGGUGGCUUGUGGAUGCGCCGUCACUCAACGGAUAAAAGGUACCCCGGGGAUAACAGGCUGAUCUUGCCCGAGCGCUCAUAGCGACGGCAUGGUUUGGCACCUCGAUGUCGGCUCGUCGCAUCCUGGGGCUGGGGUUGGUCCCAAGGGGUGGGGUGUU